GGGGGCAGACAAGACGCUGAGGAGCGGCGGCAUCUCCAGCCACAGGGACCCUGCAGCAGAGGCACAAGCCGAGGGGGGAGGCAGAAGGAGACGCGCUUGGUGUAUCGUGCAGCCCUGCACCAGGCUCGGACCGCCUACCCCUGGCCUCACUGAGCCGGAAACAGGCCAGUCACCCUGGGUUACGCCACUGGAACUGGCGGGUUAGAGCCGAGCGCAGUCCUGGCUGGAAGCGGUCACAGCUGGCCCUUGAGAACCGCGGCCCUGAGGUCCGCUCACCUGGAAACUGGGCUCACAGCAGUGGGGGUCCCCAAACUCACUUGUCCUAGGAUGGAGACAGAAUGCAGCACCACGGGACACCCGGCGACCCCCUUCACAGGCAUAAAUUCCCGGGUCAGCCGAAGCUUUCAAAAAUAAACCCAGAAUUAGGGAAACUUCUUCUGCGCCCGCCAUCUGAAUCCUUCAAGACUCUCUGGAAGCGUGAUACCUGCACGUGCCCUUCGUGGAGAGAGCAUCCCCCGUGCAUCCUCCAGCGUCCCCUUCCCCUUCUUGAAUGAACAGAACCUGAUCAUGAUUUGAGAAUUCGCCUUCUCACCUCAGUCCGCGUGUUUGGGGUGGGCUGAUGCAGGACCCCAGGCCUGGCCAGCGGGGGACUCAGUGAUGGGACCUAAACUGGCCUCUCAGUGACUUGAGGCUCUCGUGGCACCUGCUCUUGUCCCUGGACUUGAACCUGAGCGAGUGCGGGGCAGGACCUGUGUUGGAGCCGCACGGGGCACCUGCAGCCCCCGGGCCCCAGCGGAGCCUGGCGGGAGCCGGCACCAUGGUGGGGGUCGGGGACACUCAGCCGAGUCCAGGGGGCGGCGUGUGACAUGCAGACCCGGCUCUGCCUGAAGACCAAGCACCGUGCACCAGCCUGUUGAUGCCCUCGGCCUGAGCCACCCGAGUCAGGUCUCUGUCCCUUGUCACCGAGAGAAUCCUGCAGGAAAAGAUUCCGUUUGGGGCAGGGACUUCCCUGGCUGCUUGGGAAACCUCCAAUCUGCCCAGAAACCAGGAGGACAUUUACACCUGCUCAGUCUUUUCCUCUGCGAGGCUUGCCCUCUGCCACGUGGAGUCAUACAUUGGCUGAAUUCAGGGAACUGUCAGGGAACCGUAAGUGGGGUUGGCUCUGCCCACUUCUUGCCGGGAGAACACACUCGGGUCUGUUUUAAAACCUGGAUAAUAUCAUCGUGCCCUCUGUGUGCAGAAAUGGAGUGUUCUUACUUGAAGAGGGAAUUGUAGGCACCUUGAUUUUUGAGAAUAACCUCCACUGACAGCCCGUGGCCGCUUCUGCAGUUGCUGCUUCUCUGCUUUCUGGGGGCCCCUGUCCACUUCAGGCCUUGGGGCGGGGUCCACGUUCUAAUUGUAGAACUCGGUGCUCCACGGGCACCAGGCCUCUCCCAGCCUGGCAGCAAGGGGUCCCUAGAGCAGCACACUCCUCCCUUUUGGGCGGCCUCACCUUAUUCCAGGCCCUGUAAUUUAGGGUCGCCCAAAGAUGACAUGUUGCCCUGAACUAAGGCCUGGCCCUCCCCCUGCAGACCCUGCGACUGUUAUAUUACCUGCUCUCUUUGCUUGUGGCAUUUGUUAUUUUCUGCAAUUGUCUUGGGUGUUGAGUUAUUUACCUCUUUCUCUAUUGCCCGCCUCCCAGACUAGAACACGAGCUCCCUGGGGUCGGGCUGCCUCUGCCUCCUUCUCUCUCGUUUCCCUGGAGCCCACGGCAGCGGUCGGUACCCAGAAGGAGCUCAGCGAGUGUGGGAUGACUCAGACGACUGACAGAAGGAGUGAACACACGAGUGGGUGAGCGUGGACCUUUGGUCAAAGCUCUGGUGUUUAUUUCUCAUUUCCUUCUUGCCUGGCGCCUCCUUCCAACCUGAUAACUUGCUGGACUCACACCUGCUCUGUCUGGCCAGCGCUGUCCCUGAGAGCUUUCUGUGAUGAUGAAAAUGCCGCAUAUCCGUGCUGUCCAAUAUGUGACCAUUCAUCACGUGUGACUAAGGGCACUUGAAAUGUGGCCAGUGUGACUCAGGAGCUGAAUUUUUAAAUUUACUUAGUUUUAGUCAUAUGAACUUAAAUAGCCACAAGUGGCCAGUGGCUACCGUGGAGGAUGGCACAGGACUCCAUCCUCGGGGUCAUUCCUGGCCGUGUUCUCUAGAUCUUGUCCUUCUGUCUGCCUGCCUGGCCCGUCCAGACUCCCAGCUCUCAUCCCCCAUCCUCAGCCUGGGGGUCGCCAGCCUCCUGCCAGGCGGGCCCCUCAUUCACCUUUGGUUCAGGGCCGGUUCGGGUGCCCAUGGGGCUUGGCACCAGGCCGCAAGCUGACAAGAGCCUCCGAGGCCAUCUCAGUCUGGACUCAGGUCAGAGGUUUCCCGAGAAUACAGGACACACAGGAACCUCCUUCUGCCAGUCUGGGCUUCCCCACAGAAGACCCCAAAAGCUCUAGAAAUCUCUGAGACUAAAAGGGGGGCUGAGGUGUGUCAGCCAAGACUCUGGAUCACAAGGGACAGAACACCGUGCAAACUGACAUGAGCUGAAAUAAAAAUCUACUCACUGCAGAAACGGCAUGGUCCAGCGCUACCUGGCUGCAGGUGCGGCUGGGUCCUGGGGCGAAAUGACUUCAUCGGGAAGUGGGCUCUCCCAUCCUUCAGGUCCCUUCCUCCUGGGUCGGCUCCAUUCUUGGUCACAUGUUUCUCAUGAGGGGGCAAAGAUGCCCCAGCGCAACAGAGUCCCAUCCCACUGGUCCAGCAAGGACAGUAAAAAGAAAGGCCUCUUUCCCAGUAUUCCAGCAAAAGUCCUGGGACUGACUCAGAUCAGACAAGCUGGGCUCACAGACCCACCUCCUGAUGGUAAACAUCCCUCCUCCUGUUCUUCGUCUCCUGCUCCCCUGCCCUCCCUCCGUAGGACUGGUGCCGUCGUCCUGACCACAGCGGACACAAGGAGGGCGCAGCCAUGAGGAUGUUUCCACCCAAAGGCACUUCUGCCAACAGUUCACGGGUGGUUCUUGCCACCUGUUGGGAGAAAGAUGGUCUCAUCCUAACAGCUCUCAGGAGGCAGCGUGUUUAUGUCCAAGCCAAUCUGAGGCCCCUGGUCACUUCACAGCCCAGCCUCCUGACUGACCCUGGUGCUUCCCCACGUGGCCCUGCAUGGAAGGUCAUGCCUCCUAUUUCUAUGGAUCUUAACAACAUCCCACUUCUCUUUGGGGGAACAAAGCUUUCCCCACUGGAUACAGUCUGGAGGACCUGCCAGUCAAGACGCCCCGUCCCCCUUGAGGGGUGGGCACUGACCCAGGCCUGGACAAUCUGCCAUCUCUUCUCAGAAGCCAUGUUUCGGUACUUCCCUCGUGGUCCAGAGGUUGAGACUUCGCCUUCCAAUUCAGGGGAUGCAGGUUCAAUCCCUGGUCUGGGAGCUGAAAUCCCACAUGCCUCGUGGCCAAAAAAACCAAAACAUAAAACAGAAGCAAUAUUGUAACAAAUUCAAUAAACACUUUAAAAAAUGGUCCACAUCAAAAAAAAUCUUAAAAAAAAAAAAAAAAAGCCAUGUUUUGAAGCAAAGUCUUAAGCAGUGAGACCACAACAUCAAAAGCGCUUGAAGCAGGCUUAUCCUGGCAACCAGAGUCAGUUCUUAUUACUUACAAAGAGUUCUGACCCCAAAACAAAACAAAACAAAGUAAACAAACAAGCAGAAAACCAGUAAAAAAUUACCCAAGUCUUACCAAAUGUAUACCCAAAGUAUUAAUAAUAUAGCACUUAAAAAAAAACUAAUUUGGGGCAAAAAAAAAAAAAACCCUUUCAUUCAUUCUUUCACACAAGAAUCAUCUGCUGGACUCCUGUAUGUGGCAGGCCCUGCCUGAGCAGUGGGGAUAAAACAGUGACCAACCAGGGGAGGACCCCAUCCCCCUCCAGGAUGUGGGCUGGACACAGACAACGGGCAGGUUAAAUCCUGCAGACAGGCCUUAGGAUAUUUAUGGAAGGAGGUGUCUAAAUAGAAUUUGUGUAAAACAAAUCACAUCCUAAGGUCUGCUUCUUUGUAAAAUGAUAAAUACUUAUGUAAUGUGAAUGGCAAACCCCUAUUUUUUUUUUUUUUCGGUCUCUUUUCUUGUUAAGUUCUGGAUUCACUAUCUGAAGCUUUCCAAAAGCGGAGAGCCCUGGUUCAGCAAAGUUUGUUUUCAUUUGCAUUUUGAAGUCCUUCAGACACCGCAGUGCCCAUCAGCAUGCGGAACAAUUUGCUUAGAGGGUCCUUCAUUUAUGAAAGACAGCACACGUCCUCUACUCCUCUUUUUUAGUUCAUUUACAGGCUCCAGGCUGGGGCUCUGUCAAGGCUGAUAGUAGCAUCCUUCAGGGGGCACACACGACCUGUGGGGGUGGGCUUCAUUCUCAAGGCCGUUCUCCCGUGAGAUGCCCCCAGCUUGUCCCUCCCAGAAAUGAGCCAUCUCUGCCGAGCCUCUCUUGGAAUAGAGCCACCAAGUCCUGGUCACUUAGAUGAUGAAUGUCCUUGGCUUUGAACUGAGUUUUGCAAUUCUACAUAUUUGAUCUCCAUCUUUUCCAAACUGGACUCAAAAUUUCCAAGCUGAACUUGAGUGAGUGGAGCUUCCAGUUCCUUAACCAAACUUUGACUGAGGGUCCAUGGGCAGAGAGAGGAAACAGACCCUUUUAGUGUGAGUAAAUUAAAUAGUACAUGAUUUUUCAAAUUACCAAAAGUACAGAAAGGCUGAAAAUGUAGCAACUUGUCCUUGGUCCCGCCUCCUGACUUUCAGUCCACAUCCGGGAUCAACCACUUUUGAUGGCUUCUGAACUUUGGUACUUCUGAAAGCAAGACUUCUAAUUAAUAAUAGCCCUUAUCCACGUUGUGGCGUGCGUCAGUAGUGGGUCCCUUUUUAUAGCUGAGUAGUAUU